UCUAGUUAAUGCUUAUUGAUACAAAUCAAACAACUCAUUGAUAUUGAUAUCAUUUUUAUUGACUAAAACUAGAAUUUGGUAUGCAAACGAGUGAGCCCAUUUAAGUUUGCAUAUGUAUCAAUGUAAGGCUCUAUUAUUUUCUACUCUUAUUUUUAAGGGAUGUCCCUAACCUAAAGGCUAGCUCAUAGGGUGACAAGGCCCCUAAAGCAACCAAGACCCCUCAUUCUGCACUCAAUUGCCAAAAUCAAUGCUCUCGCUCUUCCCUUUCUUCUCCACAAAAGUUUUGCUAGGGUUUGGGUUUUACCCUUCUUUGCGUUAACUUAACCCCAUUCUUCAAUCCAUAUCGUAAAUAUGCUCCGUGGUCGGUAGUACUCACUUACUUGGGUGUCAGGAUAUUUUGCUAGCUUUUUUCAGAUGCGAGAACUCCUCGUGGUCAUUAGGGUGAUGGAGGUUCCGCUGCUUAGUCCGUGUUAUGACAGAUCCCGCUUUUCAGAGUUUACUUUAGGGCUAUGGCCCAUGUAUUAUCUACUCUCUAAGUAUUUAUUUUAAACACUGUCGAACUAUUUUCUCUGUCAAGUUAUUGGCAUCGUGGUGUACCCCAGUAUUUCAUUUUUAAGUACCUUGGAUAUUUGUAAGGAGUGACUUGAUACUCCGCAAAUUAGUCCUUUAUGUUAUCUUGUGUAAUAUUCUAUUUGAUUAUGUUAAUAUUUAA